AUCAUCGGCCGGGAAUCGAACCCGAGCCGCCCGCGUGGCAGGCGAGCAUUCUACCACUGAAACACCGAAGGUUAUGA
rnacentral:tRNA from 1 species